UAGGAAUCUUCGGCAAGUGGACGAAAGUCUGACCGAGCAACGCCGCGCGAGUGAAGAAGGUUUUCGGAUCGUAAAACUCUGUUGGUAGAGAAGAACGUUGGUGAGAGUGGAAAGCUCAUCAAGUGACGGUAACUACCCAGAAAGGGACGGCUAACUACGUGCCAA
rnacentral:rRNA from 1 species